rnacentral:rRNA from 1 species
AUUGAACGCUGGCGGAAUGCUUUACACAUGCAAGUCGAACGGCAGCACGGACUUCGGUCUGGUGGCGAGUGGCGAACGGGUGAGUAAUAUAUCGGAACGUGCCCAGUCGUGGGGGAUAACGUAGUGAAAAUUACGCUAAUACCGCAUACGGUCUACGGAUGAAAGCGGGGGAUCGCAUGACCUCGCGCGAUUGGAGCGGCCGAUAUCAGAUUAGGUAGUUGGUGGGGUAAAGGCUCACCAAGCCAACGAUCUGUAGCUGGUCUGAGAGGACGACCAGCCACACUGGGACUGAGACACGGCCCAGACUCCUACGGGAGGCAGCAGUGGGGAAUUUUGGACAAUGGACGGAAGACUGAUCCAGCCAUUCCGCGUGCAGGACGAAGGCCUUCGGGUUGUAAACUGCUUUUGUACAGAACGAAAAGGUUUCUAUUAAUACUAGGAGCUCAUGACGGUACUGUAAGAAUAAGCACCGGCUAACUACGUGCCAGCCGCCGCCGUAA